rfam:Thermoactinomyces vulgaris strain NRRL F-5595 F5595contig10.1, whole genome shotgun sequence.
UGAACGCGAUGAUGCGAAAGGUUGCCGACACACCCGGCCCCUUUGCCAUGGCUGGGCGGGAAAUUUUCGCGGAGAAGUUCAUUUAAUAAAAUGGGCGA